rnacentral:rRNA from 1 species
UACGUAGGGGGCAAGCGUUGUCCGGAAUCAUUGGGCGUAAAGCGCGUGUAGGCGGCUCGAUAAGUCUGCUGUGAAAGUCCAGGGCUCAACCCUGGAAUGCCGGUGGAAACUGUCGAGCUUGAGUCCGGAAGAGGCGAGUGGAAUUCCUGGUGUAGCGGUGAAAUGCGCAGAUAUCAGGAGGAACACCAAUGGCGAAGGCAGCUCGCUGGGACGGUACUGACGCUGAGACGCGAAAGCGUGGGGAGCAAGCCGG